ACCAUGACGGAACAAGCCACCUCCUUCGCCAAGGACUUCCUGGCCGGAGGCAUUACCGCUGCUCUGUCCAAGACAGCCGUGGCAUCGAUCAAGCGGGUCCAGCUGCAGCUGCAGGUGCAGCACGCCAGCAUGCUGGUCGCCGCCGAGAAGCAAUGCAAGGGCAUGGUGGACUGCAUCGUCCGCAUCCCCAAGGAUCAGGGCGUGCUGUCCUUCUAGAGGGGAAUCCUGGCCAAUGUCAUCCGCUCCUUCCCCACGCAAGCCCUCAAUUUCGCCUUCAAGGAUAAGUACAAGCAGAUCUUCCUGGGGGGCGCGGACAAGCACACGCAGUUCUGGAGGUAGUUUGCGGGCAACCUGGCCUCUGGCAGCGCGGCAGUCGUGUAUCCCCUGGAUUUCACCAGGACCCGCCUGGCAGCCGACGUGGAAAAGUCGGGCACGGAGAGCGAGUUCCGAGGCCUGGGAGACUGCCUGGUGAAGAGCCCCAAGUCCGACGGUAUCCGGGGCCUGUACCAGGGUUUCAGCGUCUCCGUGCAGGGGAUCAUCAUCUACCAGGCCGCCUGCUUCGGGGUGUACGAUACAGCCAAGGGCAUGCUCCCGGACCUCAAGAACACGCACAUCCUGGUGAGCUGGAUGAUCGCGCAGACCGUGACGGCCAUGGCUGGCGUGGUGUCCUACCCCUUCGACACAGUGCAGCGGCAGAUGAUGACGCAGUCCGGGCGCAAAGGAGCUGACGUCAUGUACACGGGCACCACAGACUGCUGGAGGAAGAUCUUCAGAGACGAGGUGGCCAAGGCCUUUUUCAAGGGUGCGUGGUCCAACGUCCUCAGAGGCAUGGGGGUGGGGGCGGGUUUCGUGCUGGUCUUGUAUGACGAGCUGAAGAAGGUCAGCUAAGGGCCUUGGCAUCCUCCACACACACCAAGGGAACCAAAAGAACCACGUAGAAUCCUGAAGUGUGCAAACCAUCGACGUUCGAGAAAUUCCAGUCAUCUUUUUCCCAGCCGGACCCUGCCUGUAGAUGGCCAGGGAAGGCUCUAGAAAAGGGGCG